GUGGGGAAUAUUGGACAAUGGGCGCAAGCCUGAUCCAGCCAUGCCGCGUGAGUGAUGAAGGCCUUAGGGUUGUAAAGCUCUUUCAGUGGGGACGAUAAUGACGGUACCCACAGAAGAAGCCCCGGCUAACUUCGUGCCAGCAGCCGCGGUAAUACGAAGGGGGCUAGCGUUGUUCGGAUUUACUGGGCGUAAAGCGCACGUAGGCGGAUCGUUAAGUCGGGGGUGAAAUCCUGGAGCUCAACUCCAGAACUGCCUUCGAUACUGGCGAUCUUGAGUCCGGAAGAGGUGAGUGGAACUCCUAGUGCAGAGGUGGAAUUCGUAGAUAUUAGGAAGAACACCAGUGGCGAAGGCGGCUCACUGGUCCGGUACUGACGCUGAGGUGCGAAAGCGUGGGGAGCAAACAGGAUUAGAUACCCUAGUAGUCC
rnacentral:rRNA from 1 species